rnacentral:rRNA from 1 species
AUGGCGGCAGCCGCGCCACCGCUCUGCGCGUGGCUCGUCGCCGCGGGCGCGCACGCGGACUGCGGGGCGGACGAGCAGCACCGCCAGACGCAGUGCCUCGAUGCCGGCUCCGGCGCGACGUUCGGCCUCGACCGCCGCCCCCUCGGGGCGCGGCGCCGUGGGUCCGCGCGCUCUGGUGAGACUCGCACGCGCCCUGUCCCCCGCAUCUGUCCCUUGCUGCUCUUGCUUGGACCGUGCCACGAACGAAUGGCCAUGUCUGUUGCCUUGCAGCCUGAAAGGGUGAUUGUUGAGAAGAAGAGACCUGAUGUUAAACAAAGGAGAGUGGUCGUCACUGGCAUGGGUGUAGUGACGCCACUGGGUCAUGAUCCUGAUGUGUUUUACAACAACCUUCUUGACGGUCAUAGUGGAAUAAGCGAGAUUGAGACGUUUGACUGCUCCAAGUUUCCCACGAGAAUUGCAGGAGAGAUCAAAUCCUUCUCUACCGAAGGUUGGGUUGUACCCAAGCUAUCUAAGCGAAUGGACAAGUUCAUGCUGUAUUUGAUAACUGCUGGUAAGAAAGCAUUGGAAAACGGUGGACUCACCGAAGAAGUCAGGAAUGACUUGGAUAAAACCAGAUGUGGGGUUCUCAUUGGCUCUGCGAUGGGCGGCAUGAAGGUGUUUAAUGAUGCGAUUGAAGCGUUAAGGGUUUCUUACAGGAAAAUGAACCCGUUUUGUGUUCCCUUUGCUACUACUAAUAUGGGUUCUGCAAUACUUGCAAUGGAUCUGGGCUGGAUGGGGCCAAACUACUCUAUUUCCACUGCAUGUGCAACCAGUAACUUUUGUAUCCUCAACGCAGCAAACCAUAUCAGAAGAGGGGAAGCUGAUGUCAUGCUUUGUGGUGGUUCUGAUGCGCCACUCAUCCCAAUUGGAUUGGGAGGUUUUGUUGCCUGCAGAGCUCUUUCACAGAGGAACAGUGACCCAACAAAAGCUUCCCGGCCCUGGGAUAUGGACCGUGAUGGUUUUGUUAUGGGAGAAGGGGCAGGUGUGCUAGUAUUGGAAGAACUUGAGCAUGCUAAGCAAAGAGGUGCAACAAUAUAUGCUGAAUUUCUUGGUGGAAGCUUCACAUGCGAUGCUUACCAUAUGACCGAGCCGCAUCCUGAAGGAACGGGGAUCACUCUCUGCAUUGAGAAGGCACUGGCUGAUUCAGGGGUAGCAAGGGAAGAAAUUAACUAUGUGAAUGCGCAUGCAACAUCUACACAAUCAGGCGAUUUGAAGGAGUAUGAAGCGAUCGUUCGUUGCUUCGGCCAGAACCCUCAGCUAAGGGUGAACUCAACAAAAUCAAUGACCGGGCAUCUUAUAGGAGCAGCUGGUGGAAUAGAAGCUGUUGCUUGUAUACAAGCUAUAAGAACUGGUUGGGUCCAUCCAAAUCUGAAUUUGGAGAACCCAGAAAAAGUAGUGGAUGUGGGCGUUUUAGUUGGAGCAGAGAAGGAGAGGUGCGAAGUAAAGGUGGCGCUGUCAAACUCAUUUGGAUUCGGUGGGCAUAACUCAUCAAUUCUGUUUGCCCCCUUCAAGUAA